AGUGAACGCUGGCGGCGUGCCUAAUACAUGCAAGUCGAACGGAGUGGCGCAUGGGUGAGUAACGUAUAGCUAACCUGCCCUACACUAGAGGACAACAGUUGGAAACGGCUGCUAAUACUCCAUAGUGUAGGAUGAGGCUAUAUUGUAUCAGCUAGUUGGUUAGGUAAUGGUUCACCAAGGCUAUGACGCAUAACUGGUCCGUGAGGAUGAUCAGUCACACGGGAACUGUGACACGGUCCAGACUCCUACGGGAAGCAGCAGUAGGAAAUAUUGCUCCAUGGGGGAAACCCUGAAGCAGCAACGCAGCGUGGAGGAUGACAAUUUUCGGAGCGUAAACUCCUUUUGUUAGGGAAGCGGAACCUAACGAGUAAGCACCGGCUAACUCCGUGCCAGCAGCCGCGGUAAUUC
rnacentral:rRNA from 1 species